UACGGAGGAUGCGAGCGUUAUCCGGAUUUAUUGGGUUUAAAGGGUGCGUAGGCGGACUGUCAAGUCAGCGGUAAAAUUGAGAGACUCAACCUCUUCCCGCCGUUGAAACUGGUGGUCUUGAGUGGAUGAGAAGUACGCGGAAUGCGUGGUGUAGCGGUGAAAUGCAUAGAUAUCACGCAGAACUCCGAUUGCGAAGGCAGCGUACCGGCAUCCAACUGACGCUGAGGCACGAAAGCGUGGGGAUCAAACAGG
rnacentral:rRNA from 1 species